UACGAAGGGGGCUAGCGUUGCUCGGAAUUACUGGGCGUAAAGGGAGCGUAGGCGGAUAGUUUAGUCAGAGGUGAAAGCCCAGGGCUCAACCUUGGAAUUGCCUUUGAUACUGGCUAUCUUGAGUAUGGAAGAGGUAUGUGGAACUCCGAGUGUAGAGGUGAAAUUCGUAGAUAUUCGGAAGAACACCAGUGGCGAAGGCGGCUCACUGGCCCGGUACUGACGCUGAGGCGCGAAAGCGUGGGGAGCAAACAGG
rnacentral:rRNA from 1 species